AUUGAACGCUAGCGGGAUGCCUUACACAUGCAAGUCGAACGGAGUGGCGAACGGGUGAGUAAUGUAUCGGAACGUGCCCAGUAGCGGGGGAUAACUACGCGAAAGCGUAGCUAAUACCGCAUACUAUUGGAGCGGCCGAUAUCGGAUUAGCUAGGUGGAGGGGUAACGGCUCACAAAGGCGAAGAUCCGUAGCUGGUUUGAGAGGACGACCAGCCACACUUGGACUGAGACAAGGACCAGACUCCUACGUGAGGCAGCAGUGUGGAAUUUUGGAGAAUGGGGGAAACCCUGAUCAAGCCAUCCCGCGUGUGCGAUGAAGGCCUUCGGGUUGUAUAGCACUUUUGGCAUGAAAGCGGUACCUGCAGAAUAAGCACCGGCUAACUACGUGCCAGCAGCCGCGGUAAUUC
rnacentral:rRNA from 1 species